rnacentral:rRNA from 1 species
GGGGAACCAGGACUUUUACUGUGAAAAAAUUAGAGUGCUCCAGGCAGGCCUAUGCUCGAAUACAUUAGCAUGGAAUAAUAGAAUAGGACGUGUGGUUCUAUUUUGUUGGUUUCUAGGACCGCCGUAAUGAUUAAUAGGGACAGUCGGGGGCAUCAGUAUUCAAUUGUCAGAGGUGAAAUUCUUGGAUUUAUUGAAGACUAACUACUGCGAAAGCAUUUGCCACAGGAUGUUUUCAUUAAUCAGGAACGAAAGUUAGGGGAUCGAAGACGAUCAGAUACCGUCGUAGUCUUAACCAUAAACUAUGCCGACUAGGGAUCGGACGGUGUUAUUUUUUGACCCGUUCGGCACCUUACGAGAAAUCAAAGUGCUUGGGCUCCAGGGGGAGUAUGGUCGCAAGGCUGAAACUUAAAGAAAUUGACGGAAGGGCACCACCAGGGGUGGAGCCUGCGGCUUAAUUUGACYCAACACGGGGAAACUCACCAGGUCCAGACACAAUGAGGAUUGACAGAUUGAGAGCUCUUUCUUGAUUUUGUGGGUGGUGGUGCAUGGCCGUUCUUAGUUGGUGGAGUGAUUUGUCUGCUUAAUUGCGAUAACGAACGAGACCU